UACGGAGGGGGCGAGUGUUAUUCGGAAUUAUUGGGCGUAAAGGGCGCGUAGGCGGCUUGGCAAGUCAAAGGUGAAAUCCCUCGGCUCAACUGAGGAACUGCCUUUGAAACUGCCUGGCUUGAGGCCGGGAGGGGGUAGCGGAAUUCCCAGUGUAGCGGUGAAAUGCGUAGAUAUUGGGAGGAACACCAGUGGCGAAGGCGGCUACCUGGACCGGUUCUGACGCUGAUGCGCGAAAGCGUGGGUAGCAAACAGG
rnacentral:rRNA from 1 species